GCUCCCUCAAACCUACCCUAGGACAUCCCUCGCACCCUGGUGUGCCCAGAGCACUGUCUGCAGAGUCAGCAGGUCUCCUGAGGGAAGGGUAGUUGCCCUGAGGGACUGGUAAAUACAAGUUUUUUGUGUUAGCCUUCUGCUUAGAGCAAAAUGGCUUAAAUUCUUCCCACAACUAUUUUGCUGGGGAAACAGCAAUGUCAUGGAGGGUACACUGUCAGCCAAACCUUACUCUCCUAAUCUGAAGAUAAUUCCCAACCUGGAUUCUCUUUGUCAGAGGGUGAAUGGUUACAGGAAAUGCCAGGAUGAUCCAGAACUGAUGUAAUGAGUUUGAUGAUUGGGAAACUCAAAUCAAUUUCAUUUACUGAUCCCCAGCAGAAAUCAGAAGAGAUCAUGGCUUCCAGGUUAAAGACCUUUGCUCAACUUUCUGCUGUUCUGAGUUAAUCUUUCUCUACCCAGCCAUCGGAGUGACCGUCGCAGGAAUUUCCCAAUACUUUGGUAUUUCAUUUCAGAGAACUGGACCCCAACCAGUCUGCAGCAGUACUGCAUGUUGCAAUGCAGUUCCAGACUUUCCCCAGGCUCCCUGGGGAGUGACCAGUGUUUCACCUACAGUUGCAGAGCCCCAUUUUGAGGGAAACUGCUUUCCACACACCCCACCCCCCCAGAAACACAACCCACAAAUACCAAGAUCCCAUAAAGGGAGAGGGAAAGGUGUCCACUGGAAGCAGAGGCUUGCAGCAGCUGCCCACUGCUGGGAACUCAGAAAAGAAACCAGGACUCCAAAGGUUCGAGUACAGACAGUCAGCAAAAUGUCCUGCAAGAGAAUCCUGGUUCUGCCAAGCCCUACCAACACACCAGAGGAUCCUUUGGCUGUUGUGUCCGAUGGUCUUUGAAACCCCCUCUGCUGAAGUCUGCAGUGAUCACUCCUUCCAUGGGCUAAGGACCUCUACUCCCAGAGCUGUGGAGUGUGACAAUGGUGUUUGUGUGCAGUCUAUCAAACGCCAUUAUCACACUAAAUAGUUCCUGGCAGACAAGGCAGCAGGUCAGAAAGGUUUGGGACCUCUGGCAAUACAUCUUCCCACUGUACUGAGGAAUAAACAACUGUGGUACGUGCACAGCAGGAUGACUCUGCU